UACGUAGGGCGCAAGCGUUGUCCGGAAUCAUUGGGCGUAAAGAGCUCGUAGGUGGUCUGUUACGUCUGCUGUGAAAUCCUAGGGCUUAACCCUGGGCCUGCAGUGGAUACGGGCAGACUAGAGGUAGGUAGGGGAGAAUGGAAUUCCCGGUGUAGCGGUGAAAUGCGCAGAUAUCGGGAGGAACACCGGUGGCGAAGGCGGGUCUCUGGGCCGAAACUGACGCUGAGGAGCGAAAGCGUGGGGAGCAAACAGG
rnacentral:rRNA from 1 species